ACGAGUGGCGGACGGGUGAGUAAUGUCUGGGAAACUGCCUGAUGGAGGGGGAUAACUACUGGAAACGGUAGCUAAUACCGCAUAACGUCGCAAGACCAAAGAGGGGGACCUUCGGGCCUCUUGCCAUCGGAUGUGCCCAGAUGGGAUUAGCUAGUAGGUGGGGUAAAGGCUCACCUAGGCGACGAUCCCUAGCUGGUCUGAGAGGAUGACCAGCCACACUGGAACUGAGACACGGUCCAGACUCCUACGGGAGGCAGCAGUGGGGAAUAUUGCACAAUGGGCGCAAGCCUGAUGCAGCCAUGCCGCGUGUAUGAAGAAGGCCUUCGGGUUGUAAAGUACUUUCAGCGGGGAGGAAGGGAGUAAAGUUAAUACCUUUGCUCAUUGACGUUACCCGCAGAAGAAGCACCGGCUAACUCCGUGCCAGCAGCCGCGGUAAUACGGAGGGUGCAAGCGUUAAUCGGAAUUACUGGGCGUAAAGCGCACGCAGGCGGUUUGUUAAGUCAGAUGUGAA
rnacentral:rRNA from 1 species